rnacentral:lncRNA from 1 species
AUUGUUGUUCGUCUUCGCUGUUUGGGUCGGAUCGCGUAACCAUAGUAUCCAAACUAGCUCUUCGCUCCAGCCGGACUUCCCGGCUCAACCGGGCGACGAGGGCAUUUGCAGUAGGAAUCAUCCCCUAAACGCACCCCGGACCUCGCGGCUGCGCUGGCGAGGCCGGCGAUGGGGGCCAGGACCCUCGGACACUACAGCCUCAGGGCACGUCCUGCUGGGGUUUGGGGCUCUCAGGCGAUGUUCUGGGAGAGGAGGUUCGCGGGAUGGAUGCCUGUCAGUCACACCAGGAGGGGUGGCAGAGGAUAAAGGGGUGACAGGGAAGCAGUUGACAGGUUCUUGGGUAGAACAAGCCUCCUAGCCUCUUUAAUUCCCCCCACCCCUCAUCUCUGAGCCACAGACGAGUAGGUGCGUGCGUAGAGCCUGGACCCAAUGUCUGCCUCAACCUCUGAAGAAAAAUAAAAAGGCAAAACCA